CUGUCCUCCUGGCAGUCAUUGUGGUGAACUUUUUCCUGGUUUAGUUCAGUCCCUGUAGAAGACUGAGCCAAGAACUUUGUCAUAUAGACCCAUUAGUAAUCAUCUGUUUCUCAGGCUAAUGGACUCGGUUUCUGUUAUGUCCUUUGACUGGAAACUCCCAGAGCCACGCCUGGAGGUUGAGCUCCAUGUAACAUCUGUUCUGGGAUGGUGCUGGAAAAAAAAAAAAAUUGGACUGGAUUGAAAUGCAGCAUGAAUCAUAAGAGAAGUUUAGAAGCACAUGAAGAUGAAUGGGUCCCCAGUGACUCAACAGAGAACAUCUGGAGCAGGUCACAUUUUGAAGCUUUUCUGUGUAAUUAUUGGAGACUGAAAACUUCUUUAAAAACAAAAGUCCAGAUGAUUCUGUGUUCCUAAGACUCUACAAGCAAGAACAUCAGCAUCCUUGUUGCCCCAAAAAUGAAGAAAAGUUUUCAAGUACAUCUAAACAUUAUCUAACACCUGAGAGGAUGUCAAGGAGACGAAGUCAAUCUCAUCACAGUGGAAAGUCAAGAGAUUAUGGACAUGUGUUGAAACAAGAAAUUGUCAAAUGGGAUGUGAGAAAAAGCUUUUUCACCACAAGGACAGUGGAACAGAGGAAGAGGCUGCCCAGUGAAGAUGUAAGUUUUCCAUCUUUGAAAGUUUUUCAAAAACCAUCUGGAUUAUAAACCCCAGAGUUCACCUAAUUUGAAGAGAAGGUUGGAAUAGAGACUUAGUGAGGUCUCUUUCAAACUGAAUUUUCUUAUCAUCUGCUAUACUAUACCAUAUCCCCUGUUAUUUUUCUCGUUUCCAGAGAGACAAGUCCUUCCUCACACAUGAAUGAUUGUAUACCUUUGAUCAUUUUAGUUCACUUCCAUGUUUUACUGUGCCCUUUCUGAUACAGGGCAACAAGCUGCACAUGCUUUCCAAGACAGCAUGCACUGCAAAUUAAUGCUAUGUUUAGUGAUAAUUACUGCUUUGUUCCUUAGUCCUUCGGCAGUAAUUUCUUCCCAGUCUGUUUGCCUUGUAGGUGGCACUUCACUUUGGAUUUGAUAUUUUCAUAGAGUAUAUAAAAUAAUACAAAAGCUGUCUGCAGGUGAAGACCUGUCAAGUAGUUUCAGUAAAUUUAGACCCCACCAUUUUGGAAUUAUGAUUAAACUUGGAUUUCUUUGUGUAUGUUAAGUCCAUUUCUCAUCUAAUAUUCUCCUACAGUACUUUCAGUCUGUAUACUUUUGAACUGCACUGAAUAUUUCUGAAUCAUCAGAAGGCUUCCUUGCAGAGUGAAAAAUAAAAGAAACUUUAGUUUCAUGUUAUACUGUUACCUGAUUUUAAGGCACCUUAGAAUUCCCUAGAAAGUAAAAACUCAAUGAAAAGGAGGUAGAUCAAAGAAGAAUGAAGACAGAUUUUUUUUUUUUUAAACAAAUGCCCAUACUUCUCACCAUUUAAAUACUUAAUUGUUAAGAUUUUAGACCUAACUUGUCACGUCUUAGGCCAGUUUCUUUUUAUUUUAAUUGAACACGGGUUCCAUUUCUACAAGAUGGCUCUUCUAGUACACUUUUUCCCUCUGAUUUUUAGCAGUGAUGUUACUAUAUCAUUUCUUCCAAGUUCAUUUGAAUUGAUAGAAUAUGUCUAUUUAAAGUGUCUACUGUAAUAUGUCUCCAUACUUUUUGAUUGCUCCUAAUCAUUUUCCAUUAAUAAAGUUUCCAGAGUAUUUUAGCAAUUACAUAUAUCUCAGGAUGAACUCAAGAAUUGCUUCUCCUUUUAUGUAUCCAUUUAUGUUUUAUAUAUUCACUGAUUUGAAAUCAUCUAUGGCAUAGAAACCCAUGACAAAUACUGAAAUCUUCUUUUGGUUUACACAGUCUUUCCAGUGCAGUGGCUGUACUGCUAGUUGCAUAAACUUCUUACUGAAACUUGAAGAGAAAGGUUGAAGGACUUAAGCUCCUGGGAAAAUCUGGCUGCUAUUCAAAAGGAGGGUUCAACCAUGUUAAGACUGUGAGCAUCGUUUUGAUCCUCAGUGGUUCUUGAUGCCCCAUUAAACUGACAUUUCUGCUUUAAAGGCUUAUGUUUAAGACUAGUGGCAUAACGCCGCAAACAAAGUAUAAACACUGUGUUGCUUGGGUUUUCUUUCUGUUUUUGUGUUGUUGUUUGUUUUUUUUUUUUUUUUUCUCUGACUGAAGCUCUGAAAUCAUUCAGUUGUUUUUGGAGCCCAAAAGGUUGACACCGGAAUAUACGACCUGGAGUUACAAGGUGUCAAGAGAAAAA
rnacentral:lncRNA from 1 species